AACAACAGUCAGUUACACCGAGGACACCUAAGAUCUAGUGAUGAACACGAAGAUCACAACCAAAGUAGCACUAGAGAAGCGGCAAGUCACAAGGAGGGAUUUGGGAACCUUCUGUCACGCUUAAGGACUAGGAUAAGAGGCUUUUUAUUUAUUUUUUUAAGAGAGAAAAAAGAAAAAGAAAGAAAGAAAGAAAAAUGAAAAGCGAGAAAGAGAGAGAGAACGGGAGUCUUGCUUUAUUGCCCAGGCUAGAAUGCAGUCUAAACAUGGGUAUUGAAUGGGAUAAGAGGUUUUAAAACAACCCUACCAGUUUUGCCGCUUGUUACACAAACCUAGGAGCAGCCAAUUAUCCUCUGAGAGAAUCGCAGCUAGUUCCCUGACCUCUCCAAACUACUAACUACCGCCUUUCCGCAAAAGCAACCGCCAAAGCGCCAGCCCCGCGCAGAGCAAGGACCCACGCCGCCGGCCUCACGUACGGUGCCGCAAAAUGCCGGUGCCUUUACUGCACUUUACGACUAGCGGGAGGGGGACGGGCUCGCGGACUCCUGGGCUGCGGAGAUAUGGGGGCGAAAGUUCAACUAGGUGUCUCCCUGGUGAAGCGUCAGAUUGGCAAAUCCAGCAGUGUGUGUCCUUCUGACUUCCCAACAAGAUUUCGAGUCAUUCAUUACAUUUGUGUUGUACUAGUUUCCUACCUCACUAUAGCUCUGACGCAGCUGAAGUGUUCUGUACUUGGCUGACAACUGUUCUCCCAAAAUUCAUUUCCAUCAGGAAUCUGUAAAUGUGACCUUACUUGGAAAUAGGGUCUUUGUAGGUGUAAUCCAAUUAGGAUGAAGUCACACUGGAU
rnacentral:lncRNA from 13 species